AUGUUACCUAAAAAACAUCUAUCUGGCUGUGAGAAAAGAAACAACAAGAAAAGAGUAGACAAGUUGAUUAAAUCUCAGGAAGGCGCUAUGAAUAUGUUUGUCUUGAGGACUGGUGCUGCUACAAAUUCAGAGCAAUUAUAUAUCACAAAUGGUGAAGAAAAAACUGAUGAUACUAAGAAUGCCGUUGAGGAAAAUCAUGUCGAGAAAAAUAAUGCUGCAGAAAAUGAUGCCGAUCAGCACACGGCAAAUUUUAGUGACCAUGAGAAUCUUGGAAAUGCAGAUGAGCAGGGUUCUUCUUUUAAUAUAUAUGAUCCUAGAACUUGGAAUAUUCUUGACAAUAAAUCAAGAGAUAUUCUCAUUGAAAAAGGACCUAUAAGGGAAUACAAUCUUGUGUUUCCCGAAGAUGAAAUUAGUGGCAGACAUUUUUCAUAUGAUUACUACACAAGAAAGUUAAGGAAUGGCGAGUUGAGUGAUCGGAGGUGGUUAGUGUACUCUAAACACGUGAAUAAAGUCUACUGUGAGAAGCUCAAAUUGCAUGAGAAUAGUGUUGAGCAUAUCACUAACAUGAAUACUUGGAAUGAGGUAAGGCUGAGGCUAAGUAAGAAGAAAACAAUUGAUAAAGACAUGCAACAAGAGAUUGCAAGGGAGAAGGAGCGACGGAGACUUGUUUUAAUUAGAAUUGUUGCUGCUUUAUAUCAAGAUAACAACGGAAUGUUUUUGGGAGUAAUUGAAAUGAUGGCAGAAUUUGAUCCUGUAAUGCAAGAGCAUCUUCGACGCAUUAAGAAUAGUGAAAUCCAUCAUCAUUAUCUUGGCCAUAAUAUUCAGAAUGAGUUAAUUUCCCUUCUUGGUCGCACUGUUAAAUAUUCUCUGUUGAGGAUAAUUAAGGAUGCAAGGUAUUUCUCUGUCAUCUUGGACUGUACACCUGACGUGAGCCAUCAAGAACAAAUGACUCUAAUUGUGAGGUGCGUAAACAUGUCAAGUACUACUACAAAAAUAGAGGAGUUUUUUCUGGAACUACUUGAAACUAAUCCAAGAGCAUUAUUCAUGCCAUGCGCUUGUCAUAGCCUGAACCUUACUCUUAGUGAUAUGGCAAAAUCUUGCAGUAAAGCUGUUACCUUCUUUGGUGUUGUGCAAAGAAUUUAUAUAUUGUUUUCAAGCUCUACUAAAAGAUGGCAGCUAUUGCUUGAUCAUGUUCCAAAAAUGACAGUUAAGUCUUUGUGUAGCACUCGAUGGGAGAGUUGAAUAAAGAGUGUUCAGGCUAUCAGAUAUCAAGCACCCGAGUUAAGAAGUAUUACUGAAUUGAAGAGAACUUCUACCGAUGACGCCAAGACUAAGAGCGACGCAAAAUCUUUGGCUAGCGCACUUGAGAAAUUUGAAUUUUUACUUGGCAUGUGCAUUGAUGUUACUCUUAAACAGAUUGAAGGUGCCAUCUCAUAUUUUAAGAAGUACAGAAAUGACGGCUUUGCAACUAGUAUGGAUAUUGCGAGAUCUAUUGCAAUUGACAUGGGUGUACAACCUUUGUUUCCUGUCAAGGUGGAAUCAUUUAGAGUUAAAUACUUUUUGGUGAUGAUUGAUGUUGCAAUUGCUUCCCUAACUACUAGAUUUGAGGAACUGAAGACAUUUGGGAGCAUAUUUGGUUUCUUGUUCAACUCGAAAGAGUGGAAGUCCUUGGGUGAUAAUGAUCUAAGAAGAUGUUGCACUAAUUUUGUCAACAAAUUCACUCACGGUAAGUCAGCAGAUGUCGAUCUAGAUGAUUUCGUUUCUGAACUAAAAGUACUGCAGAUGACAUUGCCAAACACAUUCAUGUCAGCGGAUCAGAUAUUUGAGUUUGUUAGAGAUGAUUGUUAUCUAAAUGUCUCAAUUGCUUAUCGUAUCCUUUUGACCGUACCUGUGACUGUUGCAUCAGCUGAAAGGAGUUUCUCAAAAUUGAAACUAUUGAAAAAUUAUUUGAGGUCAACGAUGUCUCAAGAAAGAUUGAAUGGAUUGGCCAUGUGCUGCAUUGAGAAGAAUAUGCUGGAUAGUAUUGAUCUUGACACUCUCAUUGAUGAUUUUGCGUCAAAAAAUGCACAAAACUCUCAUUUCACAUGA
rnacentral:rRNA from 1 species